GCGAGAAAUAUCGGAUGAUGAGAUACUGCAUAAGAACCGAAUUUUUUUAGGAAGAGCCGGAAGAGGUAUGGCAAUUGGACGCCCAAAGAGGUGCCGUUGUCGUCGAUGCUUAUAAUGGUUCCGCUGAAUGGUGUUUCGGU
rnacentral:snoRNA from 1 species